rnacentral:piRNA from 1 species
UGGAUCGUGAAACACUUUCAAGAUUUAU